ACGGAACUUACCUCGACCAUGGUCGGGUAGAAUGAAGAUAACAUCUCGGUUACCUGCCGAGACCUUAGCGCCUCCACGUCGGCUGGAAGGAGGAUCCCCUGGCACAACCUCCUGGCCAGGUUGUGGUCGGCCAACGCCGACGCCCCUUCGGGGAACUGUGCGUUGGGCGGCACGGUGCGACUCCACGACCUCGUGUCGUCCGCGGGGUCCAUCGGGGCUUUCCCCCGAUCGGCCGCCCCGACCGACGGAACUGGC
rnacentral:lncRNA from 1 species